UACGUAGGGUGCGAGCGUUGUCCGGAAUUAUUGGGCGUAAAGAGCUCGUAGGCGGUCUGUCGCGUCGGCUGUGAAAUCCCGAGGCUCAACCUCGGGUCUGCAGUCGAUACGGGCAAACUGGAGUACUGCAGGGGAGACUGGAAUUCCUGGUGUAGCGGUGAAAUGCGCAGAUAUCAGGAGGAACACCGGUGGCGAAGGCGGGUCUCUGGGCAGUAACUGACGCUGAGGAGCGAAAGCGUGGGGAGCGAACAGG
rnacentral:rRNA from 1 species